UUACGGCCAUAUCACGUCGAAAUCCCUGUUCUCGUAGGAUCAGCGAAGUUAAGCAAAGUUGAGCCUGGUCUGUAUCUAGAUAGGUGACCGCUUGGGAAUACCAAGCGCUGUAA
rnacentral:rRNA from 1 species